rnacentral:rRNA from 1 species
CCUACGGGAGGCAGCAGUGGGGAAUAUUGGUCAAUGGGCGGGAGCCUGAACCAGCCAAGUCGCGUGAGGGAAGACGGUCCUAUGGAUUGUAAACCUCUUUAGGCGGGGAGCAAUGACGGGCACGCGUGCCGGGAGGGAGAGUACCCGCAGAAUAAGCAUCGGCUAACUCCGUGCCAGCAGCCGCGGUAAUACGGAGGAUGCGAGCGUUAUCCGGAGUUAUUGGGUUUAAAGGGUGCGUAGGCGGAUUUUUAAGUCAGCGGUAAAAUGUCCGGGCUCAACCCGGGCCGGCCGUUGAAACUGGGGAUCUUGAGUGGGCGAGAAGUAUGCGGAAUGCGUGGUGUAGCGGUGAAAUGCAUAGAUAUCACGCAGAACUCCGAUUGCGAAGGCAGCAUACCGGCGCCCGACUGACGCUGAGGCACGAAAGCGUGGGGAUCGAACAGGAUUAGAUACCCCAGUAGUC